rnacentral:lncRNA from 1 species
AGAUGGUGUAGAUCAGAUCGAUUUGAUUGCAUUAGAUGAUUUUUUCCCUUCCCCACUCCUUUCUGGAAGCUCGCAUCAGCUGAAGGCUAUCGCCUGGGACUCCUCGGAAGCAUGAGCAAGCCGCCACCACGCGAAGGCACUGGGGCACAGCCAGCGCGAGGCGCCGAGGUCCCUUCCCAAGGCUUGUUAACACUGUAACCCGGCACUCGGAGAGAAGAAGCAGCUCACACUGCCCAGAGCCUACCUCACUGCACAUCAGAUGACUCCCUGGCUUCUACACACAGUUGGAGUUCCGCUUGAAACCUGGAUUUAGAGGGGGUUCUCUGGCCGCCAUGGCACUCAAUCAUACCACCUAGAGUGGACUGGCCGAGACCAGACUGGGUACCAAGCAGAGAAGUGCAGAGGAAAGCACUGGGAGAGCACCAGGAAUUGGAAAUAGAGCGGCCAUUUGGAUUUGGGCAGGAAGCAGCCGAGCACAGCUUUGGAUCCUUCUUUAGGGAAAUCGAGUUAUGGAUUUAUGGUCCCGGUCAAGCUCAGCCCAUCCCCAGGCAGGGGCGGGCUCAGCGAGCAGCAAGAGUUCUGGUGGCGGCGGCGGCGGCAGUAGCAGCGGCAGCGGUAGCAGCGGCAGCGGUAGCAGCGGCAGCGGCAGCUUGGUCCUCUGACUCUCUUCGGUGACGGGUAUUCUUGGGUGGAUAAUACGGAUUACGUUGUUAUUGCUUAAGAAUACGCGUAGUCGAGGAGAGUACCAGCGGCAGGGGGGCAGCGGCCGCCCUCCCCAGCCCACCAGCUGGCCACUAAACGCCCGUGGUUGCCAAGGGCAUCCAAAGCCUCUGGGAUGUGUUCUGACUGUAAAAACUCUGAUGUUGUGAAAAAAGCUUACGCUUUGCCUCCACUCAAACCAGGAUGGUGUUUCGCUCUUAUUGCCCAGGCUGGAGUGCAAUGACGUGAUCUUGACUCACCACAGCCUCUGCAUCCAGGAUUCAAGCUAUUCCCCUGCCUCAGCCUCCCAAAAUGCUGGGAUUAUAGGCGUGAGCCACCACGCCUGGCCAGCAUUCCCAAUUUUUAAAAAUGAAUGAUUGGCACAAAUCUUAGAAAGCCAUUUUCUGUAGAUUUGAAAGCAAUGCUAUUUACAUUGUUACUACUUUCUUGUUAAAUCUUGCAUGUCUGCAGUAUGUGUUGUAAUAGAAACCUAAGAUUAUGAUCUGCUGUAUUCAUAUUUGAAGAAGAAAAUUUCAGACUGUAUAAUCAACUAGUUGAUGAUUCAUAUUUGCUUGUACAAAGUUAAAAGUGUAACUUGCCAGAAAAGAAGGAAGCCUGAAAAGUAUUCUAAAUACAUUAAUAAGAAGGGUUCUACAUGAAUUAAUUUUUGUUUUGCCAUCUACAGAGUUCCUGCCACAUUCUAGGCACUUCAUAUUUGCUGCAACAUUUAUUCAGACAUUGACAGAACAAGAGAAACGAAGUUAAAUUUUAAGUACCAUGGAUUGAAAUUAAAUUUAGGGAAGAUAUUUUAUAGUAUGAAUUGUUCAUCUGUAUUUAACAAGGUAUUCAUUUAUUUUGGGCGAUUUAAGGAAGGUCCUUUCUGGAAACAGGAUUACAAACAUAUGGACCUAUUUAGUCAAUUUCAACCUUGUGAUUUUGAAUCUGACAGGUUCUCAGCUGCUUUUAUUAAAUAACGGAUUUUCUUAAUAAUUACUGUACUCAAACUUAGCAAAAAGCUCUAUUUAUAGCCCAGUUUUUUAGUCACACACUAUUGUGUCUUGUCAAAUUGAAACCAUAUACUACAUUCUUUACUUAUUAAGAUGGUCUUUCUUUGUAAUAAUUUUGGAGUAAAUAGUUUACUUAUCUAAACCUCUGAUUUCUGAUUUAACAGAUUUUUGAAGCAUUUAUUUUCCUUACCAUACAUAAAAAUUGUCAGUUGAGGACAAGGAAGGAUUAACCUGGACUACGGUGAAUAAUUGUUCAGGUUGCUUACUGUGUAACUCCAGAGGAGCAUUCACAUGGUACAAUUUGCAGAUUUAAGUAUUUAUUACAACCAUUUUCUGGCAGAUAACAGUGGAACACCCUGUUCUGUUAAAAUUAGUUUAUUAUGACAAAUUGCCUACAGAUGGACAUAAACUGUCUUGAGGAAGGGCACCUGCUUUGGACUGAAUCGUGUCCCCCCAAAAUCAAAUGUUGAAGCCUAAUCUCUAAUAUGAUGGUAUUUGGAGAUGGGGCCUUUGGGAGAUAACUAGGUUUAGAUGAGGUCAAGAGUGUGGGGCCUUCCUGAUUAGUACCCUGAAAAGAGAAAACACCAGAGAGCUUGCCCUCUCUCCCUCUUACCCCACAGGCACACAAAGAGGUCAUGUGAGUACACAGUGAGAUAACAACCACCUAUGAGAAAACAGAAGAGGCUUCAGAGUGAAAUCUACUUUGCUGGUACUGUAAUCUUGGACAUUAUUCUCUAGAACUGUGAGAUAAUAAAUUUAUCUUAUUUA